AACGAACGCUGGCGGCAUGCCUAACACAUGCAAGUCGAACGAGACCUUCGGGUCUAGUGGCGCACGGGUGCGUAACGCGUGGGAACCUGCCCUUAGGUUCGGAAUACCUCCCCGAAAGGGGUGCUAAUACCGGAUAAUGUCUUCGGACCAAAGAUUUAUCGCCUUUGGAUGGGCCCGCGUUGGAUUAGCUAGUUGGUAGGGUAAAAGCCUACCAAGGCGACGAUCCAUAGCUGGUCUGAGAGGAUGAUCAGCCACACUGGGACUGAGACACGGCCCAGACUCCUACGGGAGGCAGCAGUGGGGAAUAUUGGAAAAUGGGCGAAAGCCUGAUCCAGCAAUGCCGCGUGAGUGAUGAAGGCCGUAGGGUUGUAAAGCUCUUUUACCCGGGAUGAUAAUGACAGUACCGGGAGAAUAAGCACCGGCUAACUCCGUG
rnacentral:rRNA from 1 species